UUCUAAGUAAGUUAUACAAUUAAUGUAGAAAUUAAAAUAGGAUCGCUAACAGAAACAUAAUAUAAACACCAAAUAAUAUUCUAUGUUCAAGGCCAAUUAGAAAGUCAACGGCCCGAUCACCUUCCUGAUAAAUAUGCUCAAUCUUGGUCAUCCAAUCUUGAUCCAACAUCUUACGAAAACUGACAACCUCAGGAAAAUACGUGUUGAUGUGUGAGCUCACCAUCUCCCAACAAUAGAUGAAACGCAGCUUGCAAAUCCAUCUACACCCUCCUGUACAUUCUCUUUCAAACAAUUUAUAACCCUGUCACAACAAUAACGUAACUCUCCCCUAAUUAUGAUGAUCAUAUGCAUACAAACGAGCUUCAAAUGUUUGAGUACUAAACGAAAAAUUUAAAACUCGUUUAACCAUCCAGCUCUAUCAAAAUUUCCAAUUCCAUUAUACGUACCAAACAAACAUAGCACAAAUAACUUGCAUAUUUGAAACUACCUUACUACUUCAAAUGGAGUAUAUCUCAUAGCCAAGUAUUUCGCCGGCGGCCACCAUAACCACCACAAGUUUAUAUCCAC
rnacentral:lncRNA from 1 species